AUACGUAGGGUGCGAGUGUUGUCCGGAAUUACUGGGCGUAAAGAGCUCGUAGGUGGUUUGUCGCGUCGUCUGUGAAAUUCCGGGGCUUAACUCCGGGCGUGCAGGCGAUACGGGCAUAACUUGAGUACUGUAGGGGAGACUGGAAUUCCUGGUGUAGCGGUGAAAUGCGCAGAUAUCAGGAGGAACACCGGUGGCGAAGGCGGGUCUCUGGGCAGUAACUGACGCUGAGGGGCGAAAGCAUGGGUAGCGACCAGGAUUAGAUACCCUGGUUGUCCAUGCCGUAAACGGUGGGGGCAAGGUGUAGGGGUCUUCCACGACUUCUGUGCCGUAGCUAACGCAUUAAGCGCCCCGCCUGGGGAGUACGGCCGCAAGGCUAAAACUCAAAGGAAUUGACGGGG
rnacentral:rRNA from 1 species